GGGGUUGUGGCUCAGUGGUAGAAUGCUCACCUAGCAUGUGUGAGGUGUUGGAUUCGACCCUCAGCACCCCA
rnacentral:tRNA from 1 species